rnacentral:lncRNA from 1 species
CUCGCAUCACUUUUAGCUGUUGAAAUUGACUACAACCUCUUGUCUUCAUCCCCACCUCACCUCAUGUAUGGUAUGGUCCACUUGGUAAGCCCUCACUGUGGUAGGGAGGAGAGGAGCUUGGCCAAGUAGAGUGGCAGCAGGUGGGGGUAGCACUGCCGCCGCCACCACCACUAGUAGGCAGUGGUGCCAAACUACAUGGCAGCGAUGGAGUCGGCAAAAGCCAAGUCGAGGUC